CUCCAGAGGAGAUGCUGACUCUCUGCUUAUCUAGCUUCUGUCUGUCCUUUGAGAUCUGCCAGUAACUCAGCAUACAAAGAGACACAGAAUCAGACAGAGAUGGGAGAGAUGGAAAAUAAGAAAUAUCCGAGAGCACUGUGAUUCCGGGUUCCAGUUCCGGAACCAGAGGCCUUUGUUCCUGGAGCACUUUGCCUGAUUCCUUGAAGUUACUUCCUGGUGAUAUGCACCAAUCCAUUUGCUUAGCACUUAGGCUACUGCAUACUGAGUAGAUGGUCAGAAACGGCUUGUUAACCAGCUUACUUACAAGAUCCUGCUGCGCACGGGGUGAAUACUUGGUAAAUAUUAUUGACUGCCUGCCUGACAGUUGAGGCUAAUUAUUCUUUGACAUCUCACGUUAAAGCCCCACCACAUCCUGUGAAACUACAACCUUGAUGUGAGGAUGUCCAUCUUCAGGCAUUCCACCACAUAACAAAAAACAACUAAA
rnacentral:lncRNA from 1 species